rnacentral:rRNA from 1 species
CCGCUGAAUUUAAGCAUAUCAGUAAGCAGAGGAAAAGAAACUAACAAGGAUUGCCCCAGUAAUGGCGAAUGAAAAGGCAAAAGCUCAGAUUGAAAAUCUCCCUAAAAAGAGAGUUGUAGUCUGGAGUUGCGAUCGGAAGCAGCGUCUCAGGUAUAAGUCGGUUGGAAAGCCGCGCUAGAAAGGGUGAUAGCCCCGUAGUCGACCUGGGCCGCGCGUACGAUCAACAACAAAGAGUCGGGUAGUUUGGGAUUGCUGCCCUAAUUGGGAGAUAAACUUCUUCUAAAGCUAAAUAUUGAUGGGAGACCGAUAGCGAACAAGUACUGUGAAGGAAAGAUGAAAAGAACUUUGAAGAGAGAGUUC